CUAAGGCUCCGGAGGAAGCCACGGCUAACUCUGUGCCAGCAGCCGCGGUAAUACAGAGGCGGCAAGCGUUGUUCGGAAUUAUUGGGCGUAAAGAGCACGUAGGCGGCCGUGUAAGUCGGUUGUGAAAGCCUUCCGCUCAACGGGAGAACGGCAUCCGAUACUGCAUGGCUCGAGUGCGGGAGGGGAGAGUGGAACUUCUGGUGGAGCGGUGAAAUGCGUAGAUAUCAGAAGGAACACCGGCGGCGAAGGCGACUCUCUGGCCCGUAACUGGCGCUGAGUGUGCGAAAGCUAGGGGAGCAAACGGGAUUAGAUACCCCGGUAGUCCUAGCCGUAAA
rnacentral:rRNA from 1 species